rnacentral:rRNA from 1 species
ACGGCCACAUUGGGACUGAGACACGGCCCAGACUCCUACGGGAGGCAGCAGUGGGGGAUAUUGCACAAUGGGGGAAACCCUGAUGCAGCGAUGCCGCGUGGAGGAAGAAGGUUUUCGGAUUGUAAACUCCUGUCGUAAGGGAAGAGAAAGGACUGUACCUUACAAGAAAGCUCCGGCUAACUACGUGCCAGCAGCCGCGGUAAUACGUAGGGAGCGAGCGUUGUCCGGAAUGACUGGGUGUAAAGGGAGCGUAGGCGGGAUGGCAAGUCAGAUGUGAAACCUGAGGGCUCAACCUUCAGACUGCAUUUGAAACUGCUGUUCUUGAGUGAAGUAGAGGUAAGCGGAAUUCCUGGUGUAGCGGUGAAAUGCGUAGAGAUCAGGAGGAACAUCGGUGGCGAAGGCGGCUUACUGGGCUUUUACUGACGCUGAGGCUCGAAAGCGUGGGGAGCAAACAGGAUUAGAUACCCUGGUAGUCCACGCUGUAAACGAUGAUUACUAGGUGUGGGGGGAUUGACCCCUUCCGUGCCGCAGUUAACACAAUAAGUAAUCCACCUGGGGAGUACGACCGCAAGGUUGAAACUCAAAGGAAUUGACGGGGGCCCGCACAAGCAGUGGAGUAUGUGGUUUAAUUCGAAGCAACGCGAAGAACCUUACCAGGUCUUGACAUCGAGUGACGUAUCCAGAGAUGGAUAUUUCCUUCGGGACACAAAGACAGGUGGUGCAUGGUUGUCGUCAGCUCGUGUCGUGAUAUGUUGGGUUAAGUCCCGCAACGAGCGCAACCCUUAUCAUUAGUUGCUACGCAAGAGCACUCUAAUGAGACUGCCGUUGACAAAACGGAGGAAGGUGGGGAUGACGUCAAAUCAUCAUGCCCCUUAUGACCUGGGCUACACACGUACUACAAUGGCGAUCGAACAGAGGGAAGCAAGACAGCGAUGUGGAGCCAAUCCCAAAAAAUCGCCCCAGUUCAGAUUGCAGGCUGCAACUCGCCUGCAUGAAGUCGGAAUUGCUAGUAAUCGCAGAUCAGCAUGCUGCGGUGAAUACGUUCCCGGGCCUUGUACACACCGCCCGUCACACCAUGGGAGUCGGUAACACCCAAAGCCGGUCGUCUAACCUUCGGGAGGACGCCGUCUAAGGUGGGAUUGAUGACUGGGGUGAAGUCGAAACAAGGUAGCCGUAUCGGAAGGUGCGGCUG